GAAACAUCGGCAAACAGCUAGGGGAGUUGGCUAGCCACCCUUUUCGACGCCGUAAUUUCCCAGCUUGAACAAGUAUAUUGCGGGUUUUAAAAGAGGAGUUAGCUUCCAGCAAAGGAAGAUUUUUGGGCUUAAAAGUCAUGAUUACCAUAUCUUCAUGGAACGGCUGCUACCAGUUGCAUUUCGUGGCUUCAUUCCGGAGUGGUACGAUUACUAUCAUGAUUCGACUCUAGAUUUUCAGCAGCGGACAACCGCAGAUCGUGUGAAGGAAGAGUUUUGGAACUUGUUUGAGCUGCAUGUGGAUGACGAGGAAGAUGACAGUGCCCGAAUCCAAAUUGAGCAAGAGGCUAACCGGAUUAUUGACACAUAUGCAAGGAAAAAGGUGAAAGACAUGUUGUACCAACUUCGUGUGGAUGCUGUGAAGCUUUACUAUGAGAAUCAAGGAGAGAAGCUUGAUGACUCGAUGGCUUGUGCAAGAGAACUCGAAUAUGAGCAAUACCUCCAGAGUAAGAUACCAUGGUGCAAGGAAGUUGCAUGGCCUGGACUAUGUCGUUAUUGGACAUCAAAGGAAUACAAGACCAACAGGGGGAGGGGACGAGAAGCUCGCUUGAAAUAUGAGGAUAUUGCUCAAAACCGAUGGGGCUAUUAAGAAAGCAGAUAUUAAAUCAGCAGCUAGAAAAAGAAAUGCUAGUGCAUCAAUUUCGCUCACAUUCGAGAGAAGGAACAACUCAGGCGUGUUAAUGAAGAAAAUGCAGAACUCAGGCGUGCUAAGGAGAUGCUACAACAGAAAGUAGAUAUGCAUGGGCAGCUCAUAACUGCACUUUUCAAGGAGAUAGGAAAAGAGUUGCCGGCUCAUAUACUACAUAUACUAAGCCAUGGAGCUGUUUCGCAACCAGAAGGGACAAAUAACUCAUCUCAAGCCGGCUCGCAAGCGGUUGAUGGCAACAAUGAUGUCAUGGAGUCAAGCGAGGAGGAUGAAGCCGCUGGGAAUGUCGGCGAUCAGACCGUUGACGCAGCCAACCAUGGCGGAAACUGAUUGCUCAAUCAACAUGAUAACAUCAGACUAUAUGUGGUCGUAAUAUGCUCUUUUGUGGACUUGUGUAUCUGGUAUGGCUUAGGAAUGAGAACUAAGAUCUCGUGGUAGUUGCAAGCCGGCGUAUUUUGCUAGUAUUGUUGUAGUUGGCAGAUCCUUUUGUGGAUGGUACCUUUGUAGCCUUGUAGUGUAUGUAUGGAACUGAUGUUGAUACAUCUGGUGGUAGUUGCAAGCCGGUGUAUUUUGCUAGUAUUAUUGUAGUUAGCAGAUCCUUUUGUGGAUGGUACCUUUGUAGCCUUGUAGUGUAAUUAUAUAUGUAUGAAACUGAUGAUGCUAUAUGAAGUUUGAUGUUGUCAUAUAAAUA